UGCCGAGGCGCGCCCGGGGCGCGCUCCGGUGUGGGGCGACCGGAAAUUGCCUCGCCGGAUCAAAAUGAGGCGUGCUGCUGGAAAGGCGGUCGAAUAGGCGACGGAGCGCCGCUUUUUGCAGAGGCGGUGCAGAAAGGCAGGAAGGCGAGGAAGAAGAACUGAAGAAGACGGGAGGUAGACUCGUUCAGAAGUCAGAACGCAGCGCAGCCAAGGAAGAGUGGAAAGACGAGUGUGUGGGUGCGUUGCUUGGCUGGUGGAUCUACGAGAUUGUCCCAAGGAUUAAGGAAUUGGAGCACCAAAUUCCUGAUCUGAGGUGGCUGCUGUUUGUUUGCCUUUCGCAACUUUGCCCUAUAUUGAGAACAAACUACAUCUUGGAUAAGCCAUUUAGUCAAGCAUGCAUGGUUUCUAGGAAACAAGCCUUCUAUUAUCUGCUAGCUAUAUGAAGAACUUCCUGUCAGAUUUCGCAUUUUUGUGCUCUCUUGGUAUUUCCAUGAAAGCUUAAAGAAUGGAGCAACAAACAAGUCCUGGAGGACCUGGACAAUUUGGUAUCGUGGGCUUGUGUAUGAGUUACUCAUAUAUGGUUGUGGAACUUAUUUGUGAGCAUCUCGGCACUUGUUAUACUUUCAAGUAUCAAGCCAUAUUUCUGAGAUUUGAGCAAUUAUCGAGGUAAAAUGGCAUUAGCUGUGGUAGUCUAAAAUAUUCUUAGUUCUUUGAGCGUUAGUCUCUUGGUUGAAAUUUUCAUGGAGAGAACUGAGGGAUAAGUGUGUGUGAGCAUUGGGUGUAAUUGGGGUUCUCUGUUGAGAAUGGUUGAGAGAAAGUGCGAGAUUACACUUUAUUUUGACAUUAGUGGAUUAUUGCAUGCCGUGGACAAAUUGGGGUGAACCCUGCACGUUAAAACUUUGCCUCUUUGUUGAUUGUGGUGUUCUUUAUGAUUAUAGAUUUUUCUCUUAGUAAAAUGGGUGCGUCCGAAUUGGUAAAAUUCCAAGCAUGUAAUAAAGGGAUCGAUACAAGUAUACAACUAAUCUUCGAUACAAG